rnacentral:rRNA from 1 species
AUACGGAGGGUGCAAGCGUUACUCGGAAUUACUGGGCGUAAAGGACGCGUAGGCGGUUUAGAAAGUCAGAUGUGAAAGCCUAUGGCUUAACCAUAGAACUGCAUUUGAAACUUCCAAACUAGAGUGGGGGAGAGGUCAGUGGAAUUAGUGGUGUAGGGGUAAAAUCCGUAGAGAUCACUAGGAAUACUCAUUGCGAAGGCGACUGACUGGAACUUAACUGACGCUGAGGCGUGAAAGCGUGGGGAGCAAACAGAAUUAGAAACCCGGGUAGUCC